rnacentral:misc_RNA from 1 species
CUGCACUCCCAGUUAUCGACUUCUUCCUGAAGACUAUCCGAUACCUACAGCUAGCCAAAGGUCAGAGCUCGGCGCUCAAGUGUUGAAUGAUCACUGGGUAUCUGUGACUUCAGGAAGUGAGGACUACUCAUUCAAGCACAUGCGUAGAAACCAGUAUGAAGAGAGUCUGUUUCGAUGUGAAGAUGAUAGGUUUGAGCUAGACAUGUUAUUGGAGUCGGUGAGUUCAGCCGCUAAGCGUGCAGAAGAGUUAUUGAAUUCUCUUAAUGACAAUUCAGUUGGUGCGGAUGGCCCAAUCCGCAUUGAAGACCACUUCACAGCAUUGAAUUUAAGGUGCAUUGAGCGGAUAUAUGGUGACCAUGGUCUGGAUGUGGUGGACAUUUUGCGGAAAAACCUGCCUGUUACGCUGCCUGUUGUAUUAACCCGCUUGAAGCAGAAACAGGAGGAGUGGACAAAGUGUCGCUCAGACUUCAACAAAGUGUGGGCUGAAAUUUAUUCUAAGAACCAUUACAAGUCACUUGACCACCGAAGUUUCUAUUUCAAGCAACAAGAUUCGAAGAACCUUAGCACCAAAUCCUUAGUGGCGGAGAUCAAAGAAAUUAAGGAUCAAAAGCUGAAAGAAGAUGACAUGAUUCUUGCUAUUGCUGCUGGCAGUAGACAUCCAAUAAGUCCUCAUCUUGAUUUUGAAUUUUCUGAUCCUGAAGUUCAUGAAGACUUGUACAAAUUUAUCAAGUAUUCUUGCAAAGAGGUUUGUUCCACAGAAGAACAGUUAAAUAAAGUACUAAGGUUCUGGACCACCUUUCUUGAGCCAAUGUUUGGUGUCACUAAUCGUCUUCAUGGCUCUGAGGCUGCUGACGAUGAUAUCUUGUCGAAGCAUCAUGGUUUGAAGAGAAAUGGAACUAGCAUUGGUGACAGUGAUGGAAGUCCUAGUAUGGAUGCUAGCACUACUAAGUCUAAGAAAUCAAAAGUUGUCUGCAAUGGAGAUGCUAAGUGUUCCCCUCAACGUCUAAAUUCUUCCAGGAUAAGCGUUGCAAACACGGAUGCUCAUCCCAAGGAAGAUGGAUUGGCGGCAGAUGGUGAACACUUAAUUAGUUCUGAUGCAGCUGCUUCCCUCGGAGCAGAUAAUGUUUGUGCAAGAUCAGAAAGUACUUCAGGCUGCAAUACGCGACCCCGUAAUGGUACUGCUGAGGAUGGCCAAGGAGCCAAGUGUAAUAUUGAUAACUUACCAACUUCAGAGGGUGACAUUUCUAGAUCACUUCCCUUGGUAAAUAACGGGUUUGCUGAAGGUUCUAGAAUUAGUGGGUAUAACGCUGAUUCAGUUGAUCCCUCCAAAAAUGAAAAAGAGGAAGGUGAGUUGUCGCCUAAUGGGGACUUUGAAGAGGACAAUUUUGUUGGCUUUCGAGAUUGUGCCUCCCUCAAUGGAAGUAUGCAAUAUCAAUCUGGGGGUGCUGAAGUUGUUGGUUGUCAGGAUGCUGCUGGUGAUAAUGAUGCAGAUGCUGAUGAUGAGGAUAGUGAAAAUGUUUCUGAGGCAGGAGAAGAUAAUUCGGGCAGUGAGUCUGCUGCUGAUGAGUGCUCUAGGGAGGAGGAAGAUGAUGUGGAUCAUGAUGAGCUUGAUGGUAAAGUUGAGAGUGAAGGUGAGGUGGAGGGCACGAGUGAAGCAAACUUUAUUGGAGGUGAUGGCUCGGUGCUUCAAAUGUCUGAACGAUUUUUGCUUACUUCGAAGCCUCUUGCUAAACACAUGGUUUCACCUCAAUGUGGGGGUGUAAAGAAUGGCAUGCAGGUCUUUUAUGGAAAUGACGAUUUCUACGUGCUUUUCAGGCUUCAUCAGAUUUUGUAUGAAAGAUUAUUAUCAGCAAAGCUGAAUGCAGCCUCAUCUGAAUCAAAGUGGAAAACUGGAAAGGAUACUGGUUCUGAUCCG